GAUGAACGCUAGCGGCAGGCCUAAUACAUGCAAGUCGGACGGGAUCCGGGAGCUUGCUCCUGGUGAGAGUGGCGCACGGGUGCGUAACACGUAUGUAACCUACCUUCGUCAGGGGGAUAGCCUCUCGAAAGAGAGAUUAAGACCGCAUAACAUUGAGACGUAGCAUUACAAUUCAAUCAAAUAUUUAUAGGACGAAGAUG
rnacentral:rRNA from 1 species